rnacentral:rRNA from 1 species
CACCGCGGUUAUACGAGAGGCUCAAAUUGAUACUCAACGGCGUAAAGUGUGAUUAGAGAAAAUAUAAACUAAAGCCAAACACCUCCCAAGCUGUCAUACGCUAACGGAACCAGAGGCCCUUCAAUGAAAAUAGCUUUAAAAUCCUUGAACUCACGACCAUUAGGAAA